CCUACGGGUGGCUGCAGUGGGGAAUAUUGGACAAUGGGGGCAACCCUGAUCCAGCCAUGCCGCGUGUGUGAAGAAGGCCCUCGGGUUGUAAAGCACUUUCAGUGAGGAAGAACGCCUGGUGGUUAAUACCCAUCAGGAAAGACAUCACUCACAGAAGAAGCACCGGCUAACUCCGUGCCAGCAGCCGCGGUAAUACGGAGGGUGCGAGCGUUAAUCGGAAUUACUGGGCGUAAAGCGCGCGUAGGUGGCUUGAUAAGCCGGUUGUGAAAGCCCCGGGCUCAACCUGGGAACGGCAUCCGGAACUGUCAAGCUAGAGUGCAGGAGAGGAAGGGAGAAUUCCCGGUGUAGCGGUGAAAUGCGUAGAGAUCGGGAGGAAUACCAGUGGCGAAGGCGGCCUUCUGGACUGACACUGACACUGAGGUGCGAAAGCGUGGGUAGCAAACAGGAUUAGAUACCCUGGUAGUC
rnacentral:rRNA from 1 species